rnacentral:rRNA from 1 species
AUUGAACGCUGGCGGCAGGCCUAACACAUGCAAGUCGAGCGAGCGGCGCACGGGUGAGUAAUGUAUGGGGACUGCCCGUUAGAGGGGUAUCACUCCUGGAAACGGUGGCUAAUACCGCAUACUAUCGGAUAUCCUUUAUGGGAUUAGCUAGUAGGUGGGGUAAAGGCCCACCUAGGCGACGAUCUCUAGCUGGUCUGAGAGGAUGAUUGGCGACACUGGGACUGAGACACGGCCCAGACUCCUACGGAGGCAGCAGUGGGGAAUAGUGCACAAUGGGCGCAAGACUGAUGCAGCCAUGACGCGUGUAUGAAGAAGGCCUUAGGGUUGUAAAGUACUUUCAGCGGGGAGGCGUUACCCGCAGAAGAAGCACCGGCUAACUCCGUGCCAGCAGCCGCGGUAAUAC